UUUUUAUAUAUUUAUUUAUUAAGAGCAAAAUUGAAGAGUUUUAUUAAAAUAGGUAUUUUUUUUAUGAAAAUAGUUUUUUAUACUGUGAAGGAAAUAUGAAAAUAGUGAAAUAUUUUAAAAAUUAAAAAAGUAUAAGUAAGUAAGUACCUUUUGCAUUAGGGUUUUUUAAAAAAAUUAAUUGAUUUUAAUUUCCCGAAAUUAAAAUGAUCUAUUGAAAUAGAAUUUUUAUGUUGAAUUAUAGGGAUAAAUUUUUUAAUAGAAAUGAAAUUUUUUUCAUAUUUAAGGAUAUCUGGUUAUUAAAAUAAGAUUAUAUGUCUAAUUAUUAAGGUUUAUUAAAGUUAAUUUUAUAAUAAUAUUUGUAUAGAGGGAUAAGCUUUUAUAUUUUUUUUAAGUUAGUUUUAUUAUUGAAAUAAGGAAUAAAAUUUUCUUUAUCUUAUAAUAAAGAAUUUAAUACAGGGAGAUUUAAACUAAAAUUUUUUAGUGAUUAAAAUAAUUUUUAUUUAUUGAAAAUAUAAGAAGAUUAGUAAAAGAUAAUUAUAUUUUUAUUACUUUAAAUAUAAUUUUGUGAAUUAAGUUAAAUUAAAUUAAAGGAAUUCGGCAAAUUCAUUUAGUUGACUGUUUAACAAAAACAUUUCAUUUUGUGAUAAUAAAAUGUAUAAUCUGCUCAAUGAGAUUUAAAUUGCUGUGGUAUUUUGACUAUACGAAGGUAUUGAAAUAAGGCUUUAAAUGGGUGCUAAGAGAAUGGUUGAACAAUUAUAAGCUUUCUUUAAUUAAUAAAUUGAAUUUAAUUUUUUUGUGAAGAAGCAAAAAUAGUGAUUAGGGACAAGAAGACCCUAUGAAUUUUAGUAUUAGGUUUAAGGCUAAAAUUUGCAAUAAAUUUAAUUUGAUUGGGGCGAUAAAAAAAGAAUAGUUAUCUUUUUUUAGAAUUAAUUUGAUCCAUUAAUAAUGAUUAAAUGAAAAAAAUACUCUAGGGAUAACAGCGUAAUAAUUUCGGAUAGUUCUUAUAGAUGAAAUAGUUUGCGACCUCGAUGUUGGAUUAGGAUACUUUUUUGGUGAAGAAAUUAAUUGUAAGAAGUUUGUUCAACUUUUAAAUUCCUACAUGAUCUGAGUUCAGACCGGCGAGAGCCAGGUUGGUUUCUAUCUUAAUAAUAAAUUAAAAUUUUUUUAGUACGAAAGGAAUAAGAAAUAUUAAUUAAGUUAAUAUAAUU
rnacentral:rRNA from 1 species